rnacentral:rRNA from 1 species
UGGGGAAUUUUGGACAAUGGGCGAAAGCCUGAUCCAGCAAUGCCGCGUGUGUGAAGAAGGCCUUCGGGUUGUAAAGCACUUUUGUCCGGAAAGAAAUCCUUGGCUCUAAUACAGUCGGGGGAUGACGGUACCGGAAGAAUAAGCACCGGCUAACUACGUGCCAGCAGCCGCGGUAAUACGUAGGGUGCAAGCGUUAAUCGGAAUUACUGGGCGUAAAGCGUGCGCAGGCGGUUUGCUAAGACCGAUAUGAAAUCCCCGGGCUCAACCUGGGAACUGCAUUGGUGACUGGCAGGCUAGAGUAUGGCAGAGGGGGGUAGAAUUCCACGUGUAGCAGUGAAAUGCGUAGAGAUGUGGAGGAAUACCGAUGGCGAAGGCAGCCCCCUGGGCCAAUACUGACGCUCAUGCACGAAAGCGUGGGGAGCAAACAGGAUUAGAUACCCUGGUAGUCCACGCCCUAAACGAUGUCAACUAGUUGUUGGGGAUUCAUUUCCUUAGUAACGUAGCUAACGCGUGAAGUUGACCGCCUGGGGAGUACGGUCGCAAGAUUAAAACUCAAAGGAAUUGACGGGGUCAUAGCUGUUUCCU